rnacentral:rRNA from 1 species
AGCGAACGCUGGCGGCAUGCCUAACACAUGCAAGUCGAACGAACCUUUCGGGGUUAGUGGCGGACGUGUGAGUAACACGUGGGAACGUGCCUUUAGGUUCGGAAUAACUCAGGGAAACUUGUGCUAAUACCGAAUGUGCCCUUCGGGGGAAAGAUUUAUCGCCUUUAGAGCGGCCCGCGUCUGAUUAGCUAGUUGGUUGAGGUAAUGGCACACCAAGGCGACGGUCAGUAGCUGGUCUGAGAGGAUGAUCAGCCGCAUUGGGACUGAGACACGGACCAAACUCCUACGGGAGGCAGCAGUGGGGAAUAUUGCGCAAUGGGCGAAAGCCUGACGCAGCCAUGCCGGGUGAAUGAUGAAGGUCUUAGGAUUGUAAAAUUCUUUCACCGGAGACGAUAAUGACGGUACCCGGAGAAGAAGCCCCGGCUAACUUCGUG